AACCUAGAAUAAAUUCAUCAACAGUCGUCAGUCUUGUUUGAAACAGAUAACAGAGUUUUGAAAAUUUGCAUAAUAUGUACAUGACUAUUAUUUUAUAAACCACUAUAAUUUUAAUUCGUGUUUUUACUGUUGGUUAUGGUAUUAGUUAUAAAAUGAAGUAGCAAUAAUGUAGCAUACCUAAUAAAAAAAUCUUUAUUAUAACAAGAAAGAAACUGACUUAUAUGUUGAUAACAAUAGCAUUAGGCUACUACUGCCUAUAUCGUACCUAUAUUUUGAGUUUUCUGUGGAGAACGAAUGGCUCAAGUUAAUGAAGCUAAUGAAAUAUCAAAAACCUACCAAAAAUAAAAAUGCCAUUUAUGUCUGCCUGUCACCACAUAGAAAGCUUUCCGAAAGACACAACUCCUUGUUUCAAGAAGUUUUAUCGAUCAUCUGCAUUUCUUCACGUGAAUAACAAACGAAGGCACGCUACACUACUGCAAAUAAGUAUUUUACAGAUAUCAAAGAAAGCGGUGAAAAGAAUGAAGUUUUUGAUCCUUGAGGUGUCCUUAUGCGCGUCUCUCCUCUAGGAAAUACUGGAAUGAAGUGCAUCUAACGGGUGAACCUAUUGUACUGCAUCAUAAAAGCGGAAGAAGGAGGUGAAAUCAACUUGCCGACUGUUUAGCUGUGGUAAAAGCUAUCAAAUCCAUGAAUCCAGGAACCUAUUCAAUUCUCAAGAACAUCUCUGUCAUAAUGUGGUCGGACCCGUUCACCAAGGAAGGUCGCAGUAAUCAAAGCAUUCAUUUUACUCCUAUUAUCAAGUAAUUGAAAAGCUUUGAGGAUCGAAAUAAUUUCUUGAAAUAUGUUAACUAUUUCAUGAUUCAAUGUGAUUUCUUGACUAUUGACAUUUUAAAUUAUGGGACAUCAUGCAAUUUUAGGCAUUUGCCUGAUGCAAAUGGUUGAGCAUUGCCCAUAUAUUGUGAUGAAGAAAAAUUUGUUUCAAAUCACUUCAAUGAAUAUUAAGAUUCAAGCAUUCUGAUUAUACAGAUUCAAGCAUGGGAAGCGGACAAAUUCUGACAUUUUACAACAUUUUACAGGCACAUAGAAGACUGGCUUAUGAUGGCGAAAGACUUUUGAAGGCGGUUACCUUGAUUGGGAUCAUAUCUAUUAAACCUUCGAAUCCUGCACUCAAAAGUAAAUGUGAUACCAUUCAAAUGGAAUAAGAUUGAUUUGAAUUGGAAUUUGUUAUUCCUGUAUCAUAGUGCAUUUUUCUACUAGUUACCCUACGUAUUGUACAUUAUUGUAAUAAAGCACUAGCUGUUCCAUAGUAGAAGUCUUUGAAAUAAAAGGUUUCUUUUUCAAGUUA